rnacentral:rRNA from 1 species
UACAGAGGUCUCAAGCGUUGUUCGGAUUCAUUGGGCGUAAAGGGUGCGUAGGCGGCGCGGUAAGUCGGGUGUGAAAUCUCGGAGCUUAACUCCGAAACUGCAUUCGAUACUGCCGGUGCUUGAGGACUGGAGAGGAGACUGGAAUUUACGGUGUAGCAGUGAAAUGCGUAGAUAUCGUAAGGAAGGCCGGUGGCGAAAGCGAGCCUCUGGACAGUUACCGUGACGCUGAAUGCACCGAAGGGUCAGGGGAGACAAACGGG